GUGCAUCACGGCUUUUUGCAAUGAUCUUUUCAUUGUAGGAUUUACCUACUUAGGGAUAUCUAUGGAUGCUUCUGAACGCAGUCUAGACUCUAUAUUCAGUUCCAAAUUCUGUCUCCUUUUUAGCGAUAAUUCUAUCAAGGGGAAAGGGGGAAACUCGAUUUUCACUUUGUGACGUCCGGAUAGGGUGCAUUAUGGUUUUACCAUGACGUGCUGGCGUGCGCGAGCACGUGUGAGCGGCAUCAAUAUCGAUGCAUUGUUCGAAGCUCGUAUGCACACUGACAGUGAGUGAGAAUACAUCAUAGAGUAACUCUAUGGUAUACAUGUAUCUCUGUUGUUGGCUUGAUAAAGACGAUACAGCAAUAGAUGAGCAUUACGUAGAACAUGGAAAUCAUCAUUGGGUGUAUUGUGAUGAGGAUGAUAGAAAGCCCUAAGGAAAAUGAGCCAGUUUUUCAAUCAAUAUGAAAGACCGUUUUAUGAGACAAAACAUCACUCUUGAUAAGAAGUCGUCGUCAUCGAAACCUUGGAUGAAUUUGAAAAGGUCGUCAAAAUGUUAGAAUCACGGUUAUGUUUCAGCAGCAAUACUUUGUCAUGUCAUUGUUCGUCACCACCACCGCCCCUACCACACAAACCAGAGUGGGCGUGUCUUAUAAACGAAGACGCAAAAUUUCCUUCCUGGAUGUGGGCAAUAAUCUUUGCGGUAGUAGGUGUCAUUUUACUUAUCAUCAUUAUAUACAAGAUAUACAAACAAGUGAGAAAGAAGAAAUUACAACCGAUCAGCGACCAAGAAAGUGAGAUGCAACCGAAAGGUGGGAAUAUCUACUCGUAACCUUGUUAACGGGAAUUUGUCAACUGAACAUGCAAAUUGAGGAGCAGAACAGAUAGACUGAGGGAGAGAGACGGAGAAAAGGGAGAAAGAAAACGAGAGAGAGGGUCAGAGAAUUUUGGCGUUAAAAAGACAAUAUAGCGGACUAUAUCGCCGAAAGUAGAUUGAUUUGAGAAGCAAAUCGGAAGAGAAGUCAUGUCAGAGAAUAAAGAACCGAUUUAGCAAUCAUGGCAAUAACGUUGGCAACUCAUGAAUCUCAGCGACUGGAUUUGUUUUUCAUCAAGAACACAUCUGAUGCAUACACACGUUGAUACUCGGCCUUUUAUCCCAUUUAAUUUGUUGCUCAUCUCAUGUGUUUGAAGUAUCUAUAGUAUCAAAGCGUAUAAAGAGAUGCACCCGCAAACUGAAGGUUUAAUAUUCAUUGGCUAUAUCAACACUCAACCUUUAACCACGCUUUUACUUUAUACGGCUUUUAAAGGAAAGAUUAUGUAUGAAGUUUAUACUACUAUACUAUUUGGAUAGAAGGAACAGAUUAAGAUAGCAAUGGCCAAUUUUAUGGAUACUCUGAAAAAAAAAAGUUUGUGAAAGCCCUCGUAAAUGAUAACUUUCAGGCUGCUUGUAGUGG